CCUACGGGGCGCAGCAGGCGCGAAACCUCCGCAAUGCGGGCAACCGCGACGGGGUUAGCCGGAGUGCCCGUGCAUCGCACGGGCUGUCGGGGUGCCUAAACAGCACCCCAUAGCAAGGGCCGGGCAAGGCCGGUGGCAGCCGCCGCGGUAAGACCGGCGGCCCGAGUGGCGGCCACUCUUAUUGGGCCUAAAGCGUCCGUAGCCGGCCCAGUAAGUCCCCCGGGAAAUCUGGUCGCUUAACGAUCAGACUUCCGGGGGAUACUGCUGGGCUAGGGACCGGGAGAGGCCGAGGGUAUUCCCGGGGUAGGGGUGAAAUCCUGUAAUCCCGGGAGGACCACCUGUGGCGAAGGCGCUCGGCUGGAACGGGUCCGACGGUGAGGGACGAAGGCCUGGGGAGCGAACCGGAUUAGAUACCCGGGUAGUCCAGGCUGUAAACGAUGCGGGCUAGGUGUCACCGGAGCUACGAGCUCCGGUGGUGCCGGAGGGAAGCCGUUAAGCCCGCCGCCUGGGAAGUACGGCCGCAAGGCUGAAACUUAACGGAAUUGGCGGGGGAGCACUACAACGGGUGGAGCCUGCGGUUUAAUUGGAUUCAACGCCGGGAAGCUUACCGGGGGAGACAGCGGGAUGAAGGUCGGGCUGAAGACCUUACCAGACUAGCUGAGAGGUGGUGCAUGGCCGCCGUCAGCUCGUACUGUGAAGCAUCCUGUUAAGUCAGGCAAGGAGCGAGACCCGGGCCCUCAGUUGGCAGCGGGUUCCUUCGGGGACGCCGGGCACACUGAGGGGACUGGCGGCGCUAAGCCGGAGGAAGGUGCGGGCGACGGCAGGUCCGUAUGCUCCGAAUCCCACGGGCUACACGCGGGCUACAAUGGCCGGGACAAUGGGUACCGACCCCGAAAGGGGUGGGUAAUCUCCUAAACCCGGUCUAACCUAGGAUCGAGGGCUGCAACUCGCCCUCGUGAACCUGGAAUCCGUAGUAAUCGCGCCUCAAAAUGGCGCGGUGAAUACGUCCCUGCUCCUUGCACACACCGCCCGUC
rnacentral:rRNA from 1 species